rnacentral:rRNA from 1 species
GACGUAGGGGGCGAGCGUUAUCCGGAUUCACUGGGCGUAAAGGGCGCGCAGGCGGCUACGUAAGUCCGGCGUGAAAUCCCACGGCUCAACUGUGGAACUGCGUCGGAAACUACGUUGGCUAGAGGAUGGUAGAGGCCAUUAGAACUAGCGGUGUAGCGGUGAAAUGCGCAGAUAUCGCUAGGAAUGCCGGUGGCGAAGGCGGAUGGCUGGGCCACUCCUGACGCUGAGGCGCGAAAGCUAGGGGAGCGAACCGGAUUAGAAACCCCCGUAGUCC